GAUGAACGCUGGCGGCGUGCCUAAUACAUGCAAGUCGAGCGAACGGACGAGAAGCUUGCUUCUCUGAUGUUAGCGGCGGACGGGUGAGUAACACGUGGAUAACCUACCUAUAAGACUGGGUUAACUUCGGGAAACCGGAGCUAAUACCGGAUAAUAUUUUGAACCGCAUGGUUCAAAAGUGAAAGAAGGUCUUGCUGUCACUUAUAGAUGGAUCCGCGCUGCAUUAGCUAGUUGGUAAGGUAACGGCUUACCAAGGCAACGAUGCAUAGCCGACCUGAGAGGGUGAUCGGCCACCCUGGAACUGAGACACGGUCCAGACUCCGACGGGAGGCAGCAGUAGGGAAUCUUCCGCAAUGGGCGAAAGCCUGACGGAGCAACGCCGCGUGAGUGAUGAAGGUCUUCGGAUCGUAAAACUCUGUUAUUAGGGAAGAACAUAUGUGUAAGUAACUGUGCACAUCUUGACGGUACCUAAUCAGAAAGCCACGGCUAACUACGUG
rnacentral:rRNA from 1 species